rnacentral:rRNA from 1 species
AAUAGAUACCCCGGUAGUCCACGCCGUAAACGAUGAGUGCUAAGUGUUAGAGGGUUUCCGCCCUUUAGUGCUGCAGCUAACGCAUUAAGCACUCCGCCUGGGGAGUACGGUCGCAAGACUGAAACUCAAAGGAAUUGACGGGGGCCCGCACAAGCGGUGGAGCAUGUGGUUUAAUUCGAAGCAACGCGAAGAACCUUACCAGGUCUUGACAUCCUCUGACAACUCUAGAGAUAGAGCGUUCCCCUUCGGGGGACAGAGUGACAGGUGGUGCAUGGUUGUCGUCAGCUCGUGUCGUGAGAUGUUGGGUUAAGUCCCGCAACGAGCGCAACCCUUGAUCUUAGUUGCCAGCAUUUAGUUGGGCACUCUAAGGCGACUGCCGGUGACAAACCGGAGGAAGGUGGGGAUGACGUCAAAUCAUCAUGCCCCUUAUGACCUGGGCUACACACGUGCUACAAUGGAUGGUACAAAGGGCUGCAAGACCGCGAGGUCAAGCCAAUCCCAUAAAACCAUUCUCAGUUCGGAUUGUAGG